AUGCCGGACUGGAGAGGCGACACCCAGCUCGGGGACCUUCCCAAGGAGUUGAUUGACAGCAUACUCGUCCUGUUGUCGUCCAAGGACGUCGACCGCUGCCGGGCCGUCAGCAAGUCGUGGCGCAGUAUCACCUCCAGGUCUGAAUUCAUGCUUGAACACCAUCGCCGCCAUCCGUCGCUCCCCAUCAUCAAUGGGCAGGGAUGGCCUUCGAGUUUCGUCCUCUUCCGCCAGGCCGGCACCAGUUCCUCCAAUCAAAAGCUCUGGCCAUUCAACCCAGGCACCAGAUUCCAUUUAGAUAGUUGCCUCCAGGGGACUUGUGAUGGCUUGAUCAUCGUCAACUGGGGAUCCCGGUUAUACGUCUGCAACCCGGUCAUCCGCAAACAUAUUCUCCUACCACAGCCUCAAGCUGGGCAAGCCUACAACCGAUUAAGCGGUUUCUACCGGCACCAUCUAACCGGAGAACACAGGGUUCUCUUGGUCUCAACUCCAUGUCAGGGUAAAUCCAACUUAUAUGUCAUCACGGUUGGCUCUAUGGAGCCGAGACAUGUCACAGUGAAAAUGCUAGUCGUCCUGUCAUCUUAUGUGGAACAUAGGUUCCUGGUUAGGCUGCUCCCUGGGUCCUAUUAUCCACCACCAGUCCAGCACCGUGGUAGCCUACACUGGUGCCCUCCUUGUGGUGCUGGUGAUAUUCCCAGAGGCAUUGGAGACAUUAUUGUGUUUGACACAGAAGCCGAGUCAUUCCGAUGGAUGCACGCUCCUGCCCAGCCAUACUCUGAUAAGAAGUUGUUUGAGAUGAAGGAGGAACUUGCUUUCUGGGGCGGCAGAUACUCCAGCUCGAAUAUCGGUUUAACCGUCAUCGAUGUCUGGGUGAUGCAGGAUUACAAGGUCGGAAUAUGGGGUUUCCAGUACCGGAUGGACCUCUCAACGUUGGAGGCAUCACGACAACUAUAUCUAUCUUCUUACAAAAAGAAAAAGAAAACACCACUUCGUCAAGCACUACAAUGGUUCAACGAUGUGGUUCUGCUCAACGAGCGUGAGCUGCUAAUAAGGUUUAAUUCAGAACAUGUGCUGCGUUGCGACACUGAUGGUAAGUUUUUAGGUAUGGUGAACAUUGGGAAGAGUCAAUAUGGCAUGAUGCUCACCCAGUACUACCUCAGUGAGAGCAUUAUUCCAAUUCCCUCCAAUGAUAUGCAAGAAGAUGACGAAGUGCCUCCAUUCAUAGGGCAUAUCGAAAUGUUUGCGACUUCUGGUUUGUUUUAUCCUUGGAAUUUGGACAUGCCAUUUUGGAUGGUUGAGGACUUGCAAUAG
rnacentral:rRNA from 1 species